rnacentral:rRNA from 1 species
AAUCAACGCUGGCGGCGUGCCUAACACAUGCAAGUCGAACGCGAAAGCCCCUUCGGGGGCAAGUAGAGUGGCGUCCGGGUGAGUAACACGUGGGUAAUCUACCUCCGGGUGGGGAAUAACUCGCCGAAAGGUGGGCUAAUACCGCAUAAUGCAGCGGCACCGAAUGGUGAUUAGUUGUUAAAGCGGGGGACCUUAGGGCCUCGCGUCUGGAGAGGAGCCUGCGGCAGAUUAGCUUGUUGGAGGGUAAUGGCCUACCAAGGCUGCGAUCUGUAGCUGGUCUGAGAGGACGGCCAGCCACACUGGCACUGACACACGGGCCAGACUCCUACGGGAGGCAGCAGUGGGGAAUUUUGGGCAAUGGGCGAAAGCCUGACCCAGCAACGCCGCGUGAAGGAGGAAAUCCUUCGGGGAUGUAAACUUCACAAGCAAGGGAAGAGCGCGCAGGGUCGAAUAAACUCUGCGUCCGACGGUACCUUGCGUAAGCCACGGCUAACUACGUGCCAGCCGCCG